ACGGGGGGAGCGAACGUUGUUCGGAAUCACUGGGCGUAAAGGGCGCGUAGGCGGCCACCGCAAGUCAGUUGUGAAAUCUCUGGGCUUAACCCAGAAAGGUCAACUGAUACUGCGGGGCUAGAGUGCAGAAGGGGCAACUGGAAUUCUCGGUGUAGUGGUGAAAUGCGUAGAUAUCGAGAGGAACACCUGCGGCGAAGGCGGGUUGCUGGGCUGACACUGACGCUGAGGCGCGAAAGCUAGGGGAGCGAACGGGA
rnacentral:rRNA from 1 species